rnacentral:lncRNA from 12 species
UGAAGUUUAGGAUUCCCCAGAGGCGCUGAAGGGUUUUCCUGGCUCCUCAGAGCUGAUACCUGCAGCACAGCACCCCGGGAUGCAGCUCUCCCUCCGUUCCUGAGUGUUCCCGGUGAUUCCUGCUGGGCUGGAACGGUCCGUGAUGCAGUGACCCCUGCCAGGACCAGAGUGACCCCUGCCAGGACAGGAGUGACUGCUGCUGGUCGGUGCUGAUGCUCUCUCUCUCUCUGUCCCAGGUAAUUCAGGAUUCCCCGGUGCGUGCUGAUGCUCUCUCUCUCUCCCAUGUAAUUCAGGAUUCCCCAGUGCUGAUGCUCUCUCUCUCUCUCUGUCCCAGGUAAUUCAGGAUUCCCCAAUGCCGAUGCUCUCUCUCUCUCUCUGUGUCCCAGGUAAUUCAGGAUUCCCCGGUGCCGAUGCUCUCUCUCUCUCUCCCAGGUAAUUCAGGAUUCCCCGGUGCCGAUGCUCUCUCUCUCUCUCCCAGGUAAUUCAGGAUUCCCCGGUGCCGAUGCUCUCUCUCUCUCUCCCAGGUAAUUCAGGAUUCCCCGGUGCCGAUGCUCUCUCUCUCUCUCCCAGGUAAUUCAGGAUUCCCCGGUGCCGAUGCUCUCUCUCUCUCUCCCAGGUAAUUCAGGAUUCCCCGGUGCCGAUGCUCUCUCUCUCUCUCCCAGACCGGUGAGGCUGGGAACGAUCUCGGCGCUGGAGGAGGCAGAGGGAUGUGGAACAAAGCUUGGGCAGAAAUGCACUUGAAGAGAAUCUGCUCCAUCCCCUGCCACAGGUUCUAGGAGAGCAUUACAAAAGCCCUUCAGAUCUCCAAUAUGACAUUAAAAGGCUCCAGCAGACUGAGAGCAUCAGCUUUCUUCGAGGUCACUGCAAUACCAGACUAUUAGUUGAAUUACACACUGGAAUACUUCAGGAAAAGGAGAUUAAAAGAAAGUUACUUUGAAAAGAUAAGAAAAUCCAAUUCUCUGCCCCCUUUAACCCUCACGAGACAUGAGAAGAUGAGCAGCUGGUAAUGAAGAGGUUUUUAAAUGACCCUUCCUUGCCUGUCUUCUGUGUUAAAAAGCAGAGAAAGAGCAGCUGUUAAAGGUAAAAUAAAACCGAGAGUGUAGGGAUAGAAGCUGUAAAAAAAAAUUUGUGAAAGCAGUAGCUGAGCCUGGGGAGAUUCCCCCCAGUGUGGUACAGAGGAGUUGGAGCUGUGGGCUCAGCUCUCUGCACUUCUCCAGGGAGCUCAGGGCUGGAUUUCCAGGCAGUGCAGGGAAAUAAUAAUUACUGGCAUCACCUCUGCAGGUGAAAGAUGCUGUGUGUGUUGGGGCAGGAGCAGGGGAAGGCCAGG